GUGCCCGCAAUGGCUCGGCCUGACGAAGGCAAUGAUGAGCGAACAGGUCAACAGCGUCACCAGGAUGAGCCCAAUAAUGACGACGGCCUGCCUCCUGGAACACGUCGCCACCGGGAACUGAAAGUCUGAGACGAGUAGCCCCGAGGGAGGGAUUUAUCCAAAUGAUAUUGCACACAGCCGGAGACGGGAAAUAAGUUUGCCACACACACACAUACACACUGGGCAGACAUCUGGCAAUCCAGAAUUUUUCCAGUUUUAUUUUCUAAACUAUCUAAGCUCCAUAAAAAGAUGUGUGUGCCGGAACAUCACCCGGCCACGUCACAAUGUGUUGCGUGAAUCAGCUUCAGUGUUUUUGUCGUCGAACCAACUGUUUCUUUGUGUCUGUUUUCUAUGUGUCGGUUAUAGGGAGGAGUGGGGGGGGGGGGGGAGGACUGUGUGGUUAAAAGAGUCGAGGAUGAAGCGGGAUCCGGGAACUUUCAUUCAACCGCCCGUGAAUUUUCCAAGAGCUGAACGUCAUAUUUUAUGCACACAAUCUGACUCGUGAAGUCGUGAUGUAUACAUUUGGAUGUUGUUCUUUAUCUUGUGGAGUGGGGUGCGCAGGGGGGGGGGGGAGGGAAAAGACGGGCCCCCGCUCCUGAUCUGUUCAUAUUUUCUCCUUUUUCCUUUUUUUCCCCAUCCAGUCGAAACGAGGAAUCAAAUGUGUCGCUCCUUGUGUUUGUUAUUCGCUCCUGUUUCUCUCUCCGACUCCCCUGGGCGUCGUUGAUGAUGCCAACC